rnacentral:rRNA from 1 species
GACGAACGCUGGCGGCGUGCUUAACACAUGCAAGUCGAACGGAAAGGCCCUGCUUUUGUGGGGUGCUCGAGUGGCGAACGGGUGAGUAACACGUGAGUAACCUGCCCUUGACUUUGGGAUAACUUCAGGAAACUGGGGCUAAUACCGGAUAGGAGCUCCUGCUGCAUGGUGGGGGUUGGAAAGUUUCGGCGGUUGGGGAUGGACUCGCGGCUUAUCAGCUUGUUGGUGGGGUAGUGGCUUACCAAGGCUUUGACGGGUAGCCGGCCUGAGAGGGUGACCGGCCACAUGGGGACUGAGAUACGGCCCAGACUCCUACGGGAGGCAGCAGUGGGAAAUAUUACACAAUGAGCGGAAGCCUGAUGCAGCAGCGCCGCGUGCGGAAUGACGGCCUUCGGGUUGUAAACCGCUUUCGCCUGUGACGAAGCGUGAGUGACGGUAAUGGGUAAAGAAGCACCGGCUAACUACGUG